rnacentral:rRNA from 1 species
GAUGAACGCUGGCGGCGUGCCUAAUACAUGCAAGUCGAGCGAACGGACGAGAAGCUUGCUUCUCUGAUGUUAGCGGCGGACGGGUGAGUAACACGUGGAUAACCUACCUAUAAGACUGGGAUAACUUCGGGAAACCGGAGCUAAUACCGGAUAAUAUUUUGAACCGCAUGGUUCAAAAGUGAAAGACGGUCUUGCUGUCACUUAUAGAUGGAUCCGCGCUGCAUUAGCUAGUUGGUAAGGUAACGGCUUACCAAGGCAACGAUGCAUAGCCGACCUGAGAGGGUGAUCGGCCACACGAGAACUGAGACACGGUCCAGACUCCUACGGGAGGCAGCAGUAGGGAAUCUUCCGCAAUGGGCGAAAGCCUGACGGAGCAACGCCGCGUGAGUGAUGAAGGUCUUCGGAUCGUAAAACUCUGUUAUUAGGGAAGAACAUAUGUGUAAGUAACUGUGCACAUCUUGACGGUACUUAAUCAGAAAGCCACGGCUAACUACGUG